rnacentral:rRNA from 1 species
UACGGGGGGGGUAAGCGUUGUUCGGAAUUACUGGGCGUAAAGGGCUCGUAGGCGGCCAACUAAGUCAUACGUGAAAUCCCUCGGCUUAACCGGGGAACUGCGUCUGAUACUGGAUGGCUUGAGAUUGGGAGAGGGAUGCGGAAUUCCGAGGUGUAGCGGUGAAAUGACGUGAGAUAUCUGGAGGAACACCGGUGGCGAAGGCGGCAUCCUGGACCAACACUGACGCUGAGGAGCGAAAAGCCAGGGGGAGCAAACGGGG